rnacentral:rRNA from 1 species
UUUGAUCCNUGGCUCAGNUNCGCANCGCGGGCGGCACGCCUAACACAUGCGAAGUCGANCGCANCCCUUGCGGGGCGANCGGCGGACGGGUUAGUAACGCGUGGGAACGUACCCAGAUCUAAAAAAUAGCCUCGGGAAACUGAGAGUAAUACCGUAUACUCCCUUCGGGGGAAAGAUUUAUCGGAUUUGGAUCGGCCCGCGUUAGAUUAGAUAGUUGGUGGGGUAACGGCCUACCAAGUCUACGAUCUAUANCUGGUUUUAGAGGAUGAUCAGCAACACUGGGACUGAGAUCACGGCCCAGACUCCUACGGGAGGCAGCAGUGGGGAAUCUUAGACAAUGGGCGAAAGCCUGAUCUAGNGAUGCCGCGUGAGUGAUGAAGGCCUUAGGGUCGUAAAGCUCUUUCNCCAGGGAUGAGNAGUACAGU